UGUUUUACAUAUUAGAUUGCAAAUCUAAAGAAGCAGGCUAAUUCCCUGCCGGGGCUU
rnacentral:tRNA from 1 species